rnacentral:rRNA from 1 species
UAACACAUGCAAGUCGAACGGCAGCGGGUAGGAAGCUUGCUUCCUAUGCCGGCGAGUGGCGGACGGGUGAGGAACACAUCGGAAUCUACUCCGUCGUGGGGGAUAACGUAGGGAAACUUACGCUAAUACCGCAUACGACCUAAGGGUGAAAGUGGGGGACCGCAAGGCCUCACGCGAUGGAAUGAGCCGAUGUCCGAUUAGCUAGUUGGCGGGGUAAAGGCCCACCAAGGCGACGAUCGGUAGCUGGUCUGAGAGGAUGAUCAGCCACACUGGGACUGAGACACGGCCCAGACUCCUACGGGAGGCAGCAGUGGGGAAUAUUGGACAAUGGGCGAAAGCCUGAUCCAGCCAUGCCGCGUGGGUGAAGAAGGCCUUCGGGUUGUAAAGCCCUUUUGUUGGGGAAGAAAUCCUGCUGGCUAAUACCCGGCGGGGAUGACGGUACCCAAAGAAUAAGCACCGGCUAACUUCGUGCCAGCAGCCGCGGUAAUACGAAGGGUGCAAGCGUUACUCGGAAUUACUGGGCGUAAAGCGUGCGUAGGUGGUGGCUUAAGUCCGUUGUGAAAGCCCUGGGCUCAACCUGGGAAUUGCAGUGGAUACUGGGUCACUAGAGUGUGGUAGAGGGUGGCGGAAUUCCCGGUGUAGCAGUGAAAUGCGUAGAGAUCGGGAGGAACACCCGUGGCGAAGG